CGCAGAAAAAAAAAAGGACCUGAGUGCUAUAUGUAUGCCCUCGCACUUUUUAUCUCUACUCCUAAAAAUCCCCUAAGCGGGACGCCGCUUUCCGUCGUACGUCCCCGACGUGCGAUUUUCGUCCGCUCGCUUCGUUCAGCCGCGGACGAACGCCCACCAUCCGAUCUUCUAAUCCCCGAGCAUCUGACGUCGAGCUCCGUGCCCCCCGCCCGCACGCGACCACGCCUGCCCCUGCGCCGCCUCCCCCCACCGCCGUGCUACCCUCCUCCACCCCCGCGCCCCCACCGUCGCGCCACUCCUCCGCCCCCCGCGCCCUGCCUCGCGACGGUCUGCUGUCGAAGACUCCGCUGGUCCGCCUCCUCCAUCCCUAUCGGUGGAGAGGGCCAUUCCGACUGAAACCCUACGCGAGGGACGGCGGGUCCAGCAGCGGCCUCCUCUCCGACUCCUCCGCCGGCGCUCCCCCUCCUCUCCGACUCCUCCUCCACCGUGAUGCCCUCCUCGCGCAGCCCAGCCGCCUGCCACCGGCCGCCACCGUCGAGCUGAUUCCGAGGGAAACGGGUCUUGGGUGGCGGUUCUGUGGGAGAUCCGGUGAGCGGGGAUGCAGCAAGAGCAGCGAAAGAAGGUGCGUGCAGGGUUCCUGCGAUUCCUAACUCUUUGAUGUUUGUUCAUGAAUUUCCAGGUUAUCUUUUGCACCAGCGUUGAUGCUUGAUGUCAAUUCCAGUUCUAGGCUGCUAAUAAGCGUGAGUCAUCGAUUGCUAAUGUUGGGAACAACUUUUUUUUUUUUGAAUUUUCUGAUUUGUUUUAUAAGUUUUGACGGGACUUGUUCAUGUUCAUACCAUUUGCGGAGUCUGAAUUUGAUCUGGGUAUUGUUGUGAUCUGAGUUCUUUCUCUAUCAACUACUCUGGGCCCUCAAAUACAUUCAUACUGAUAUGAAACCAUUCCUUUUAUAUAUUUGCUUGCCACAACGAUUCCCUGAAUGCCCCAUCUGGGAUUCCACAUCAUUUCCACUUAUGUUUAGGAUGAUCGCAUUCCCUUUCAUCUCCUUUUAGAUAGCAACUCACAGCGUACCAGAGUAACUCACAGCCCCAUCUGAAAAUCACUGGCUUGAGUACUUCAGAUUCUUCCAUGCAAUAUUAUUCAACAUGAUAUAAGGACAGGCGUGGAGCUCCAAUGGGUUGAUCAGAUUGCGCCACCUGAUCCCUGCAACUAACCAGAGGUGAUAGGUUGAUCCAAUUUGCUGAUGUUGUUUUGAUAUACACAUGUUCCUUUUAUCUAUACAUUACAACGAUGAACUUGAGUAUAAGCUAUAUCUUUUUAUGGACAACUUUUUUCUUUCCUUUGUAUGGAGAUCUUUUUCCCUAUUGAACAUGAUGCUGUGAAGGCCAUGAUUUAUGCGGUAUUACUCAUUCAUAUUGAUGUAUAGCCUUUGUAUGGUAACUUAACUUGCUCCCUUUAAUUUAAACUGUAUACUUGAAUAUAUUUUUCUUGCACUCACUGAGUGUAUUUGUAUUCUGGAUUGUUAGUAUUCCAA